GCAAGUCGAACGGAGUUGAACCUGCAGCAAUGCGGUUUCGAUUCAGUGGCGUACGGGUGCGUAACACGUGAGUAAUCUACCGGUAAGUGGGGGAUAGCCCGCCGAAAGGCGAAUUAAUACCGCAUGUGGCUAAGGGGAUGUUUAGUUUCUCCUAUAGCUAAAGCCAUUUUGGCGCUUUCCGAUGAGCUCGCGGCCUAUCAGCUUGUUGGUGGAGGUAAUGGCCCACCAAGGCGAUGACGGGUAGCUGGUCUGAGAGGACGAUCAGCCACACUGGAACUGAGACACGGUCCAGACACCUACGGGUGGCAGCAGUCGAGAAUUUUUCACAAUGGGGGGAACCCUGAUGAAGCAACGCCGCGUGGAGGAUGAAGGGCUUCGCGCUCGUAAACUCCUGUCAAGCGGGAACAAGAAAGUGAUAGUACCGCUAGAGGAAGAGACGGCUAACUCUGUGCCAGCAGCCGCGGUAAUACAGAGGUCUCGAGCGUUGUUCGGAUUUAUUGGGCGUAAAGGGUGCGUAGGCGGUGUGGCAAGUCAAGUGUGAA
rnacentral:rRNA from 1 species